rnacentral:rRNA from 1 species
CACCGGCCGCUCAAGUGGUGACCGCUAUUAUUGGGCCUAAAGCGUCCGUAGCCGGUUCGGUAAGUCCUUGGGUAAAUCCUGCCGUUUAACGGUAGGAAUUCUGGGGAUACUGCCGGACUCGGGGUCGAGAGAAGUCGGAGGUACUCCGGGGGUAGCGGUGAAAUGCUGUAAUCCUCGGGGGACCACCAGUGGCGAAGGCGUCCGACUAGAGCGGGCCCGACGGUGAGGGACGAAAGCCAGGGGAGCGAACGGG